rnacentral:rRNA from 1 species
AGCGAACGCUGGCGGCAGGCCUAACACAUGCAAGUCGAACGAAGUCUUCGGACUUAGUGGCGGACGGGUGAGUAACACGUGGGAACGUACCUUUUGGUUCGGAACAACUCAGGGAAACUUGAGCUAAUACCGAAUGUGCCCUUCGGGGGAAAGAUUUAUCGCCAUUAGAGCGGCCCGCGUUAGAUUAGCUAGUCGGUGGG